rnacentral:lncRNA from 1 species
CAAAAUGUAAAGAACAAAUUCUUAGCUUUUUAGGUGUGAUUUGGAUGGAUAUUUGGAAGGGGUCUCAAAUGGCUCGUAUAAGGAAGGGUCUGCUCGAUCUAAUGGAAAGGCUAAACUGCUAAUUACACGAUUAAGCCUAACGUUGGUAUCUCGAUCCUCUCAUCCUUCAUGUAUACCCUCCACUUCUUCUUCUUCCUCCACCUUCGGUAACGCCUGUUUGGGAUCGUCAUUGGGCAGAAUCAUCUUCGACGCCAUUAGCUGCGGCGAUAGCUCUCGUUAUCGACGUGAACUCCGAGAAGAAUACAAUGGAGAUGUUUCGAAAUCUGCAAUGAUCAGAGAGGAUUUAGGGAGGAAAGCGGAGAAGCUAUGCGAUCUGUAAAACUUAGCAGGGAUUGAGAGUGGUGCUGAGACGAAGAAGAAGGAGGAAACGUUGCAGAUUCUGAAACGUGUGAUUAGAGAAGUGGAGACUGCGGAGAAGAAAUAGGUUCGACUGUUAGCAAAAUUGAAAUUAGAAACAGAGAAAUUAGGGGGAGACAUGGAGACUUUCACCAGAGAAUGGUGCAGUUAGCGUCUUGACGGUGGAGGUGGGAGCAUCUCCGGGACUGACAUCGAUACUGUGGCCGGAAACUAGGUACGAUUAUGUUUUGAAGGAGACAAAAUUAUCUCUGGGAGGAUUGAAUCAGGGAGUGUAAGAAUUAUGUGACGAAAGAGAGAUGAUGAUGCCUCCUCUGUUCAUGACCAGAUUAUGAACCCAACCAAUAGAGGAAGAAGAUGAAUAGUAUAGAUUGGAUAGAUGGGUUAGAUACAAUUGAUUUUUGACAUUCUCUUUCUAUUUUCUUAAAAGUUUCG